rnacentral:rRNA from 1 species
UACGUAGGGGGCGAGCGUUGUCCGGAUUUAUUGGGCGUAAAGCGCGGGCAGGCGGCCCGGUAAGUCGGCCGUGAAAUCCCCGGGCUCAACCUGGGAACUGCGUUUGAAACUACAAGGCUAGAGUGUGGCAGAGGGGGGUGGAAUUCCACGUGUAGCAGUGAAAUGCGUAGAGAUGUGGAGGAACACCGAUGGCGAAGGCAGCCCCCUGGGUUAACACUGACGCUCAGGCACGAAAGCGUGGGGAGCAAACAGG